rnacentral:rRNA from 1 species
UGGGGAAUAUUGGACAAUGGGCGCAAGCCUGAUCCAGCCAUGCCGCGUGAGUGAUGAAGGCCCUAGGGUUGUAAAGCUCUUUCAUCGGCGAUGAUAAUGACGGUAACCGGAGAAGAAGCCCCGGCUAACUUCGUGCCAGCAGCCGCGGUCAUACGAAGGGGGCUAGCGUUGUUCGGAUUUAAUGGGCGUAAAGCGCACGUAUGCGGACGUUUAAGUAAGGGGUGAAAUCCCGGGGCUCAACCCCGGAACUGCCUUUGAUACUGGAAGUCUAGAGUAUGAUAGAGGUGAGUGGUAUUCCGAGUGUAGGGGUGAAAUUCAUAGAUAAUCGGAAGAAUACCAGUGGCGAAGGCGGCUCUCUGGACCAUUACUGACGCUGAGAUGCUAAAGCAUGGGGAGCAAACAAG